rnacentral:rRNA from 1 species
CGAGCGGAACUUAGAAAGCUUGCUUUCUAAGUUUUAGCGGCGGACGGGUGAGUAACACGUGGGCAACCUGCCUAUAAGACUGGGAUAACUUCGGGAAACCGGAGCUAAUACCGGAUAAUAUAAAAGAUCACAUGGUCUUUUAUUGAAAGAUGGCUUCGGCUAUCACUUAUAGAUGGGCCCGCGGCGCAUUAGCUAGUUGGUGAGGUAAUGGCUCACCAAGGCGACGAUGCGUAGCCGACCUGAGAGGGUGAUCGGCCACACUGGGACUGAGACACGGCCCAGACUCCUACGGGAGGCAGCAGUAGGGAAUCUUCCGCAAUGGACGAAAGUCUGACGGAGCAACGCCGCGUGAGCGAUGAAGGCCUUCGGGUCGUAAAGCUCUGUUGUUAGGGAAGAACAAGUAUCGUUCGAAUAGGGUGGUACCUUGACGGUACCUAACCAGAAAGCCACGGCUAACUACGUG